GAUGAACGCUGGCGGCGUGCCUAAUACAUGCAAGUCGAGCGAACAGACGAGGAGCUUGCUCCUCUGACGUUAGCGGCGGACGGGUGAGUAACACGUGGAUAACCUACCUAUAAGACUGGGAUAACUUCGGGAAACCGGAGCUAAUACCGGAUAAUAUAUUGAACCGCAUGGUUCAAUAGUGAAAGACGGUUUUGCUGUCACUUAUAGAUGGAUCCGCGCCGCAUUAGCUAGUUGGUAAGGUAACGGCUUACCAAGGCAACGAUGCGUAGCCGACCUGAGAGGGUGAACGGCCAAAAUGGGACUGAGACACGGUCCAGACUCCUAAGGGAGGCAGCAGUAGGGAAUCUUCCGCAAUGGGCGAAAGGCUGAAGGAGCAACGCCGCGUGAGUGAUGAAGGUCUUCGGAUCGUAAAACUCUGUUAUUAGGGAAGAACAAAUGUGUAAGUAACUAUGCACGUCUUGACGGUACCUAAUCAGAAAGCCACGGCUAACUACGUG
rnacentral:rRNA from 1 species